rnacentral:rRNA from 1 species
GGCGAGUGAACCGGCUGAAGCUCAGAUUUGAAAAGCCUCUUUUGGCAUUGUAUUCUGAAGCCUUGGUCCUGGGACCUGGUGCUUAAGUCUUCUGGAAAGGAGCGCCAUGGAGGGUGAUAGCCCCGUGAAGCACUAACCCCAUUGUAGGAUCUUGGCAUGGAGUCGAGUUGUUUGGGAAUGCAGCUCAAAUGGGUGGUGAUGCUCCAUCUAAAGCUAAAUAUCUGCGAGAGACCGAUAGCGAACAAGUACUGUGAAGGAAAGAUGAAAAGAACUUUGAAAAGAGAGUGAAAUAGUACGUGAAAUUGUUGAAAUGGAAGGAUAGGCCGCUAACCCACGCAGAGUCGUGUUUAGGGGGAGGACAAAAGCUGUUAUACUUCAUGCAUUCUUCGGAGUGAUGUCGUUGCGGUGCAUACUCCCACCUGGGCGCGAGUAUCUAAUACUCUGCUAAAUGGUGGUC